GUGUAGCCGCCAGAGGAUGGGUGUCAUUGAUGUUGAUAUAAUGGAAUAGUUAUUCUGCUGCGCU
rnacentral:tRNA from 1 species